GUGGGGAAUAUUGGACAAUGGGCGAAAGCCUGAUCCAGCCAUGCCGCGUGUGUGAAGAAGGUCUUCGGAUUGUAAAGCACUUUAAGUUGGGAGGAAGGGCAGUAAGUUAAUACCUUGCUGUUUUGAUGUUACCGACAGAAUAAGCACCGGCUAACUUCGUGCCAGCAGCCGCGGUAAUACGAAGGGUGCAAGCGUUAAUCGGAAUUACUGGGCGUAAAGCGAGCGUAGGUGGUUUUGUAAGUUGGUGGUGAAAUCCCCGGGCUCAACCUGGGAACUGCCUGCAAAACUGCAUGACUAGAGUACGGUAGAGGGUAGUGGAAUUUCCUGUGUAGCGGUGAAAUGCGUAGAUAUAGGAAGGAACACCAUUGGCGAAGGCGACUACCUGGACUGAUACUGACACUGAGGUGCGAAAGCGUGGGGAGCAAACAGGAUUAGAAACCCUAGUAGUCC
rnacentral:rRNA from 1 species